GGGGAUAUAGCUCAGUGGUAGAGCACUUGCCUAGGAAGCGCAAGGCCCUGGGUUCGGUCCCCAGCUCCA
rnacentral:tRNA from 1 species